rnacentral:tRNA from 1 species
GGGCAGUUAACUCAAUAGGUAGAGUAUCUCGCUUACAACGAGAAAGCUAGUGGUUCGAUUCCGCUACUGCCUA